rnacentral:rRNA from 1 species
AGAAUCGACGCUGGCGGCGUGCCUAACACAUGCAAGUCGCACGAGAAAGGGACUUCGGUCCUGAGUAAAGUGGCGCACGGGUGAGUAACACGUGAAUAAUCUACCUCCGAGUGGGGAAUAACUGAGAGAAAUCUUAGCUAAUACCGCAUAACACUUACGAGUCAAAGCAGCAAUGCGCUUGGAGAGGAGUUCGCGGCAGAUUAGUUAGUUGGCGGGGUAAUGGCCCACCAAGACGAUGAUCUGUA